AAGAGACCUCGAGUAAGACAUCAAUCAUCCAACUCUGGUUCAGCUCGGUCACGUAGAAGAGUUGAUUAUAUGGUACCAUGGAAUCUAACUGUGGAAAGCUCAACACUAACCGCACUUGAAUCCAUUCCAAAUACAUCGCCAGAGGCCGUGAUUGGGAUCGGCCGAGAAAGCACCCGCCAUCACCACAUGGGGGCUCAGGUUCACACCCAUAAAGAGUGCCAAACUCUGCCUGUGGAAACUAACUAAACAACUUGUUUCUUGCAUGUACAUAGCAAUGAUAGCAUCUCUACGCUUCAAGCAUUUUUGUUUUGGGUUCAACCCAUUUCGAAUUCUGAGACAAGUAAAAGAACAGGCCUGUAAGCGAGAGGAGAAAGGGAGCUGAGGUCAUAUCGGAAAUUAGUUAUGGAAGUAAUCAAGGAUGGUAUUCGAACCAAGGGUCUCGAAGAAGAAGAAUGUAAUGUUUCAUUUCGACCAAAGAUGGAUCCAGAAACACCAGGCAUUAGGCCGUGCCUCAGCCAAGAUGAAGGUCUAAAUUAGCUAAGUUAUGAAAGAAUAUGAUAGAGCUUCGAAAAGGCUCAAGAUCUAAAUUAGCUAAGUUGUAUUCAAGGUAUGUGGCAGUUCAAGAAAUGUAGAAACAAGUACGAUCAACACUUAAGAAAUGUUUUGCUCGAGUCGAAAAUAAUUAGUCACUGUAGGAUGUUGAAUUCGAGGUAGAGAAACGAGCAUGAAAUUCGAAGAUUGAACUCGGGAAUAGCACUGUACGAUUACCAACACGAUCCCUCAAUCAGAGUCGCACACAUCAUAAGCCACGAACCCAAGUUCCUAGCAGUUACAAGCAUAUGAAUAUAAAUCAGUCAGCUCGAGAUGAUUCGAAGGCCAAGUUGAGAGUUUUUGUGUUAUGCCGAAUGAGUGGCUUAGAUUAGGCAGUUUGUCUUAGUUUCAAUUGUUGGAAUAAUGGCAUUCAAGAAAAUUUGUUUAAAUCUUUUUCCGUUUUUUCAUUUAUAUCAUCAUGUGUCAAA